rnacentral:rRNA from 1 species
GUUGACCUCGGAUCAGGUAGGAAUACCCGCUGAACUUAAGCAUAUCAAUAAGCGGAGGAAAAGAAACCAACAGGGAUUGCCUCAGUAACGGCGAGUGAAGCGGCAACAGCUCAAAUUUGAAAUCUGGCCUCACGGUCCGAGUUGUAAUUUGUAGAGGAUGUUUUGGGCACCGCCUCGGGUUAAAUUUCUUGGAACAGAAUGUCAAAGAGGGUGAGAGUCCCGUCUUGGCCCGCGGUAGGACCUAUGUAAAACUCCUUCGACGAGUCGACUUGUUUGGGAAUGCAGGUCAAAAUGGGUGGUAAAUUUCAUCUAAAGCUAAAUAUUGGCCAGAGACCGAUAGCGCACAAGUAGAGUGAUCGAAAGAUGAAAAGCACUUUGAAAAGAGAGUUAAACAGUAUGUGAAAUUGUUGAAAGGGAAGCGCUGGCAACCAGACUCGAGCGCGGUGUUCCCCCUGGCUUCUGCCUGGGUUACUUCACCGUGACCGGGCCAUCAUCAGUUUUGGGGGCCGGUCAAAGGUCCGGGGAAUGUAUCCUCUCCUUCGGGGGAGGACUUAUAGCCCCGGGCGUCAUGCGGCCUCCCGGGACUGAGGAACGCGCUUCGGCGAGGAUGAUGGCGUAAUGGUUGUCAGCGACCCGUCUUGAAACACGGACCAAGGAGUCUAACAUCUAUGCAAGUGUUCGGGUGUCAAACCCUUGCGCGGAAUGAAAGUGAACGGAGGUAGGAAGGCCUGAGCCUGCACUAUCGACCGAUCCUGAUGUCUUCGGAUGGAUUUGAGUAAGAGCAUAGCUGUUGGGACCCGAAAGAUGGUGAACUAUGCGUGAAUAGGGUGAAGCCAGAGGAAACUCUGGUGGAGGCUCGCAGCGGUUCUGACGUGCAAAUCGAUCGUCAAAUUUGCGUAUAGGGGCGAAAGACUAAUCGAACCAU